UAAAAGAUAAGCUAAACUUAAGCUGUUGGGUUCAUACCCCAAUUAUGAGAAUCUCUCUUUUAA
rnacentral:tRNA from 1 species